rnacentral:snRNA from 1 species
AAUUUUUCACAGCUCUUCUACAAACUUUUCUAACAGGAUUUCUGACCUUGGUUGGAAAUCCCAA